AAAAAAGAAAAAGAAAAAGGAGGAAGGAAAGGGAAGCUGCUUUCCUGGCAGAAAGCUGCCUAACAGUCCUCUAAUUCUUUCUAGAUUAAAUCGCAAUAUGAAUACGGCAUCGAACAAAUACCGAGGUUCGCUCUGAACUCAGUGGAAAGCAGUUACGUCUAACAGAAUUCAAUGAAUUCCUCUUCUCCCUCAAUGUAGUAUGUGUGUGUUUUUCUCUUCCACCACACUGAAGUUCCAUGAAUAGGGAAAGUGGCUCCUAUUGUGUGCCUCUGAACUUCCAAGUCAAUGCAAUUUUUAACCACUGGCUUGUGGUACUUUGAAAAUCACCAGGGGCUGUCAGAGUUGGGUCCUCUGAAAAAUUUACAGUGCUAAAUCAGAGCAUAUGCUGUGAGAGAGGGAAAAAAAUUGCUUAAGAUUGGAGCAAGUACAGUAUCUGUCUGCCCCCUAGUGUAAGUCUCUUAUCUGCCUAAAAUUCAACUUUAAAAGAAAAGGAUCUCUUAAAGGGAAACGACUUUUGGCUCACGUAUGCAUUCGAGAGUGAAACUUCUGUACAUUUUAAUCUGAUUAAUUCCUAAGGAUUUAAAAUUAAUUGGCUUGGGCACUCCUAGACCGGACUGUAAGAUUUCUGCAUCGGGGUUUCUGCGAGCCCUGUGCCGAAUAGGUAUUUUUACAUAACAGUGGUAAAGGGGGGGGGAUCCUGUUCUGUGAUUUUUUUUUUUUAAUGAGGCACCGUGCCUCGCAUGCUGCUACCAGAGCAAAACACUUUUGCCGCUUAAAGUCAGAUCUACGUCUUUUGCAAUACUAAUAGUAAAAACAAGGAUAAACAAUUGCCUUAAAGCCUCCGCCGAAGUGCCAACCACACCUCCGGAGGCCAGAAGGCAGAAAUACGUGAGCUGCUGAGAGAGGUGGGUACUUUUUGGGCUGAAUUCUGCAGUUCUCCGCUCAGGCAAAACUCCUACUGAAUUCAGCGGCGCCUUUGCCUAAAGGAAAGGUAGCAAAACUUGGCUGAGCCAUAACUACAGUAAAAUUCAAGAGAUCUGUCACGAUUUGCACUGCCUCGAGACCUGGUGUGGUUGCUUUCACAGUGCCUUUCUCUGUUAGAUUUUGCUACCUGCACCCAUGGAUGUGAUGAGAUUUUUUGAUCAGCAUGGUGUUUUUCAGCGCAAAGACAUAAAGAGAAAUGCAGCUCUGUGAUGGCUUGGAAGAUCUUGUAUUGUUGUUGGACGACACAGCAGAACUGCUGGACGCUACCUACCUCACAGGAGAAAACCCCGUAAAGCUCAAUAAAAUAUCCUUAAAGAUGAAUCUUAACAAAA